rnacentral:tRNA from 1 species
CAGAAAAUAGUUUAUAUAAAAUAUUAAUUUUGGAGAUUAAUGAUAGAGGCUAACUCUUUUUCUGA